CUACGGGUCGCACCAGUGGGGAAUAUUGCACAAUGGGCGCAAGCCUGAUGCAGCAACGCCGCGUGAACGAUGAAGGUCUUCGGAUCGUAAAGUUCUUUUCUUAGGGAAGAAAAAUGACGGUACCUAAGGAAUAAGCACCGGCUAAAUACGUGCCAGCAGCCGCGGUAAUACGUAUGGUGCAAGCGUUAUCCGGAAUCACUGGGCGUAAAGGGAGCGUAGGCGGUUUUGCAAGUCAGAAGUGAAAGGCUACGGCUCAACCGUGGUAAGCUUUUGAAACUGCAAGACUAGAGUGCAGGAGAGGCAAGUGGAAUUCCUAGUGUAGAGGUGAAAUUCGUAGAUAUUAGGAGGAACACCAGUGGCGAAGGCGACUUGCUGGACUGUAACUGACGCUGAGGCUCGAAAGCGUGGGGAGCGAACAGGAUUAGAUACCCUCGUAGUC
rnacentral:rRNA from 1 species